GAUGAACGCUAGCGGCAGGCUUAAUACAUGCAAGUCGGAGGGGGAUCGAGUUGGGGUAGACAAUACCGUGGCUGUGAGACCGGCAACGGGUGAGGAACACGUACGCAACUUUCCCAAAACUGGUGAAUAGCCCUCCGAAAGGAGGAUUAAUACACCGUAACAUAACGAAAUGGCAUCAUUUUGUUAUUAUAGCAGCAAUGCGGUUUUGGAUAGGCGUGCGCCUGAUUAGGUAGUUGGCGGGGUAACGGCCCACCAAGCCUACGAUCAGUAACUGGUGUGAGAGCACGACCAGUCACACGGGCACUGAGACACGGGCCCGACUCCUACGGGAGGCAGCAGUAAGGAAUAUUGGUCAAUGGACGAAAGUCUGAGCCAGCCAUGCCGCGUGAAGGAUGAAGGUCCUCUGGAUUGUAAACUUCUUUUAUCUGGGACGAAAAAAGGGAAUUCUUUCUCACUUGACGGUACCAGAAGAAUAAGCACCGGCUAACUCCGUG
rnacentral:rRNA from 1 species